AUGUUUCACUGACAGCAGAAGCCAGCUCCUUUGUCUUUGUAAUAUGGACUGGAGAGUGGUGACUCCCCAGGUGUCCUGCAUGUGUGUGGUGCCAAUUUGGGACUGCUGAGUUGUCCAGCUUUGUGGGCUGGGCGGCUUCCAGUCUAUCUGUCUCAGCAGGUUUCCACUUGGCUGGCAGACAUAUCCAAGUGUCAAUUGCUGCAAUCUACUCCAAAGGACCACGAGCUGUAGACUUGCUGAAGGCUGAUAAGAUGUGGACCAGUCCAAGCAAACAUAAUUGUUCCCUGUCUCUACUAUCAGAUCAGAUGACCAUAUACUUCUGAUAAAUACCCAUUGCCUGGGUUGUUCCCUCCUUACCUUUGACUGGCCUUUUGGCCUCCUUGGGCUAUGACCAUCUGCUCCCCGUUUCAGCUUGAAGCACUUAUGGAAGAGAAUAUGUCAUCCUGUGUUCCCUGCCCACCCCACAACAGGCUAAAGGGCUAAGUAAAAGAGAAGAUCCCUGGCACAGGGAACAACAUGUCUACCUAUAAUGCCCAUUGAUAUCCAAAUACUGUGCUUGGAGUUGUCACUUAAGAGAUGUAUUAACUAAAUGGUUCUGUAAUAGGAUAAGACACUUGACCUUCUUUAUGAAGAACCAAAGAGAAAAUGGCUGGACACAGAAGAACCUCCAACCAGAACUUGCUCCAGAAUAGCAGCACCAGCCACUGAGGUAGGCACAGAAGAACCUCUACUGCUACCAGGGCCUUCUUCAGACCAUGGACAACAGGACUCUGGGAACCCAUUGCCUCACUUUUGCCUAGACAAGAUAGACUGGUCCUUCCCACGAGUUCCUACCCCACAACUGUUGAAUCUUCUGAGGCCUAGCAUGCCUAGACCUGGCAGCCAAAGACUAAUGUUGUUGCCCCGAGACCUCUGCCCUCAAUGACCAUGGAGGACCCUGGGGUGGCUGUCUAGGUAGUCAGCAGGUCAGUCUCUGUCACUUUCAAUUGCUAACUCAGGUAAAAUUUAUCCUUCUCAGGUCUGUGAUGCCAUUUCACCACCAGGCUUUGCUUCAGCUGCCUUCUCAGUUCUCUAUGUGAAAUUCACAGCCUCAUCCUCUUAGGGCUAAUACUGCUCUCAGGGUCUUCUGAUGAAUUGGAUAAAAAAGAAACACCUCCAAGGUUUAUUUAUAUGAAGAUAGGAAAUCUAUCUUCUGUUCACUCUGAUGAUGUUUAGGGAAGCAUCCCUUCUCCUUCAACCACUUCCAUUCAGUAAAUUUCCUCUGGUUAUAGAUUUAAAGAUAUGUUUCAUUGGGCUGAAUCCAGAAAAUGUGCAUGCAUGCCUUUUAACACAACACCAUAGCCUUUUGCUACGACACCAAGAUAUAAAUCUGUUCCAGCUGUCUUACAUAUACCUUCAGGUUCCUGGGAAAAGUUCUGCUACUGUAUCAAGAAAUCUGAUCUGAUGAAAACUAACAGUCUCCAGAACCCAUUUUGAUCCCACCAAUUUUUGAGCAUAUUUUUCAGUUUCACUCCUUCUGCCUGAGCCAAGGCCAACCCACAGGGGGUCCUCCAGAUGUGCCAGCCAGUGCACCAGCUCUGAGGAUGCCAACCACCAACCAAGGAUGCCAACUGGGAUGGAUGUACUUCCACACCAGCAAAAAAGCAGAUGUGAUGGCUCAUGCACUCCUAAAGAACAUGUCAUCCCUUUAUUUUACUGCUGCAACCUGCCUUCUCAGCUCCCUCAAGGAACAGAUGCCUGAGAUCUCCAUGCCUGAGAUCUCCACAAUGACAGCCAACUGAAUGUUUCUUCACUCACACUUCCCAACAUGUGUGACCCUGACUUCUACCUUCCCCGAUACUUCUCCCCAAAAUCAGCAGGAAGCAGUCUCAAAAAUUUAACACCCUUAUUCCGCUGCUUGCUAUCCAUAACUCACCUUUUUAUAAUAAUCAAAAUGGAGGAAUGUUGGCAUUCUGGUCUACCCCUUGGGGAUCCAUGUGUUGAUAUUUUAUUUAUGUUUUAAUAAAUAAAGCUUACCUGGAGAUC